rnacentral:tRNA from 1 species
GGGGAUAGAGCUCAGUGAUACAGCACUUGUCCAGCAUGCACAAGGCCCUGGGUUCAAACCCCAGUACCCCCC